UGCCAGCAGCCGCGGUAAUACGGAGGGUGCAAGCGUUAUCCGGAAUCACUGGGUUUAAAGGGUGCGUAGGCGGUGGUGUAAGUCAGAAGUGAAAGUUCACAGCUUAACUGUAAAAUUGCUUUUGAUACUGCAUCACUUGAAUUAGGUUGAGGUUGGCGGAAUGUGGCAUGUAGCGGUGAAAUGCUUGGAUAUGCCAUAGAACACCAAUUGCGUAGGCAGCUGACUGGACCUUUAUUGACACUGAGGCACGAAAGCGUGGGGAGCGAACGGGAUUAGAUA
rnacentral:rRNA from 1 species